CUGGCUCAGGAUGAACGCUAGCGGCAGGCCUAAUACAUGCAAGUCGAGGGGCAGCGCAGUGUAGCAAUACAUGGGCGGCGACCGGCAAACGGGUGCGGAACACGUACGCAACCUUCCUUCAAGAGUGGGAUAGCCCAGGG
rnacentral:rRNA from 1 species